CCGUCCUUUACGCAUCCGUCCUUUGACGUCCGUCCGUUAGCAGAGGAGCCCACGUUGGUGGCGAGGUCUCAGGUGUGGCGUCACUGCCUGCUGCCGCUUCCUCUGGCGCUCUGGGCCGGAGCAAGAGCCGAGAAGAGGGCCUGUUUCCAGCCUCUCCUCGGAAGUGAUGCCCGGAAGUGACUCUGUGGAGCAGCUCAGUUACAGAGGCGAGGAGCCCGGGCAGCGGCUCGGGGCAGCGCACAGGCCGCAGCGCAGAAGGCUCGGCGUCGGGCACCAUGGUGACCAGGGUCGCCCUGGCCGCCCGGUGCCGGGGAUGAGGAGCGAGCAGACAUUGACAACCGAGGAAGUGAGGCGCAGAGAGAUUAAAUGAAACCCGCCGGGAUGACCCAGUACCAACAGAGCCAGCAUUUGAACUCGGGCUUCUGAGCCACGAGUCGUUUCGGGCCCAGGUCUUGUCCAGCCUCGGAUGGUGCUGUCAGGACAGACGCGAAGGGUUGUCCCCGACUGUGGUUGGUUCCUCUGGAAGAAAUCAAGAAAAAGUGGGAGCCUUUCUGGUGUUUCCUCAGGUUGAAGCUUGUAGAUUAUACAGCAGGUUCUCUGCCCAGCCAAGCAGCAUACCAUUCAUUCCCUCUGUCCCUGAGAGGGGAGCAGUCACAUCAGGAGGCCCAAAGGGAGACACCCAUAUGGUGAAGAGCUGCAGUCUCCAGCCACCAUUUGGCAAGAAGCUGGGGUCUGACAACACCUGUGUUGAUGAGCUCGGUGAUGAGGGUUCUGCAGUCGGACCUUGGCCAGAGCCAUGCAGUUUGGACAGUGGAAUACAAGUUAGUUAAAUCGCCUUUCCCUCCUCCGUCUUUCAGCUGGAUCCCAGCUCUUGAGUCCCACCUUCCGGAGGCUGCACACCCACCUCUCCUCCCUCGGGAUGCAGAACCAACCUUCCUUCUCCUUUCUCCUCCAGCUCCACUAGACAAAGGGCUGCAAGGUGACACACUGCGGCUUCCUCCUCCUGGCAGACAGAGGGACCAAGGAUGGGGCAGAGGGAAGUGUCCCAGGCCCUUGUGGGCACCAGGUGGCUCCAAGUGUCAGAGAAGCCUGUGGCACUUUGGACUUGUCUUCUCUGUGCCGGACAGAGGCAGCUAGAUCAGUUAUGACUUGGCGGUUGAAAAUGCUGUCAUCAGGAAUGCCAUCAUCAAGACACAGAAAACACACAGGAAGCACCACUGGAUAAUCCACCCACCUCUCCUACCUGGCUGGGUCAUCUGGGUCUCUGCUGUCCACUACCUAAUUGAUGCCACCUUGUUUGAGUGACCCCAGGGUCUCUUCCAGGCUGGCAGGCAGGACCAGCACAGGGCCAGCAGUCAGGCUCCAGUUAUCUUCUUCACUGCCUUCCAGACUGCCUUCCAUUUCAGGCAGGAGAUGAAGUAGUGUAGGAGUGGACCAGGAUGCUUCAGAGCUAGGCAGUCUAUGCAGGGACGAGGGUCUUGCAGAUGGGAAUGGGAGGUUGGGAUUGUCUGGCAACCUGCUGCCCUAGGGGCUUCAUCCCAGGGAAGAAGGGUUCAGUGCAACAGCAGGCUCUCUGGCCCUUCUCCCUAUGAGAGCUGAGAGAGUGCAGGAUCUUGGGAGGAUGAGGACACCACCUCCUCAUUUGAAGGCUUUACCCUGGGUUUUAAGCUUAACCCCCUUGUGAGCCUGGUGUUCGGGAGCAAAAACAUUGGCCUUCUGAUGGUCAAACUUUCUGAGCCUCAGGGUUUCUAUGAUUUGAUGACUUUUAGUGGGUCAGUCCUAGUCAUGAUGCCAGGAUUGCAGUCUUCCUGUGCUUGCUUGGGGAGUAGCUCAAGAGGAAGAUUAGGAGAAGGUACAUCCAAGGGGAGCCACGAGUGCCACAAGACCUACUUUAGUGUUGGUGGCAUUGAGAGGUUGUGGGGGAGAAGUUUUCAAAUUACAAAUCUGUAAGUCAGAAGAUAGGACAGGAGUACCUGCCCACCCUGAUCUGCUGCACCAGAAGCCUGGCCUUCUCUUAGAGGUGUGAUCCACAGCUAACUCAAAUAGAAUCCUUCAGGGGCAGCAAACCUUACUGUGCAGCCACACAAGGUCACGUUCUGCCUGGGAACAAACUUCUUCCCCAACCCAAAGUCAGUGAUCUUGGUAUUACCUUAGUAGUCCAGUAAGAUGUUGUCAGGUUUGAUUGAAGUCUCUGUGGACAAAACCCUGGCCAUGAGAAUGUUGCAUGACACCUGUGAGCUGGAGAAAUAAUCUCUGGGCCACCGCCUCUGUCAGCACUUCGGUGGCCUUCCAGACAUGUUGCCUCAGGUCUCCUGCACUGUCAUGUUCUUUUAUAAGGUAUAGUUUAUGGAUUUCAAAGACCUCCGGAAGUUGGAUGACUUUGGGGUGCUGUAGCUCCUUUAAGAGCUCUACCUCAGUAAGAGUGAAGGCAGAUUCCAGUUUCUCCUUCUCUAACACCUUUAUGGCUGCUGAUGUGGCAGCAGCAUGAUCUUCAACAAGUAAGACCUUACUAAAGCCAACCUCGCCAAUGAUGCUCAACACUUGAUAGUUUUGAGUGAGCCUCUUCCUGUGAAAGCUGGCUAUGGGGCCCAGCUCUGAGGAUAUAUUGUUGUGCUCAGCACCCAAACUGGGUAUUUCAUAGCUGACUGACACAUGUGGCACAGGAAGCUGUUCCCUUUCCUGCAAGCCAGGAAACAGAGACAGCAGGGAAGGCCAAGAUCCCCAUAUCCCAUUCAAGGGCACCCACACAACCCAACUGCCUGCCAUCAGGCUGCACCUGCUAAAGGGUUCUAAGCCUCACCUUAGUGCCAGGGCUUCUUGAUGAAGCCUUCGACACAUGGACUUUUAUGGGACAUUUAAGGUCCAGACCAUAAAACCACCUUAAAUAACUUUUCCUUCCCAAGGGGUACAAGAAGGAUUAGGAAGUGAUGAGUAUCAGACAUCACUUUUAGCCUGAGCACCUGUCCUGCUCUUGGCCCUGGCAGGGGACCAACCGGAGGGACAGCAUAGAACCUUGUACCUUCAAGACCUUGGAAACUAUGUGCUGAGGGCACACUGUGAAGGGCAGGGCCAUAUCAAGCAGUUACAUGUGGGUGACCAGCAGCCACAUGAGCUAAGAAAGGCACCAGCCAGGGUUUGCCGAUGGAUCACAGGAGGCCACCAAGAAAACCAGAGAGGCGCAGAAUGCAAGUGACUGAAACACAGUGCUCAGAAGGAGGAGUCCCCAACUGAGGGGUAGAGAGCACUAGGGAAUGUUGGGGACUGUGGCAAGCCAGAGAGCUCAUGUUCUUUCCAAUGGCUUCUGCUGAUUGUUAUCCCUUACAGACGAGCCUAGGUUCCCUAUGGUUCUGGAAUGCUGAUCUCGAUAUUUGUGUUGGCAACUAAGUCAGAAUUUUUAACAAAAUAUAUGUCAGUGCUAGCUGUGGUGGCACACAUCUGUAAUCCCAGCCCUCAGGAGGCUGGGGCAGGGAAUUAAGAAUUUGAGACCAGCUAGAAUGACAUAGGAAAUCAUACUCUAACUGAACUGCUUUGUGAGACCCUGUCCAAAAGAAAUUGUGUGUGUGUGUGCAUGUGUGCGUGUGUGCACCUAUAUGUACAUAUAUCUUAGGGCAAAUGAAACACAGCAAUCAACUCAAUGGAGUCCAGGGACUGGGUUUGUCCUGUCUGCAUUAGAAAUCAACUGUUACAUGGCUGCCUAGUGACAGCAACAAUAAAAGCUGACAUCUGAGCCAUGAGCAGUGGUACACACAUGUAAUACCAGUUUCCUGGGAGGCUAAGGUAGGAGGAUCACUAGUUCAAGGCUGCUUUAGGCAAGUUAGUGAGACUCUGUCUCAAAAUAAAUAAUAAAGGGCUAGGAAGGUGGCUCAGUGGUAGAGGGCCCCUGGGUGACAUCCCCAGUACCACCACCAAAGAAAACAAAAAGGCUAGCAUAGGCUUCCUGGAAUCAAAUCUUUAUAUGAAGUGCCUCACAUGGGUCAUUUUAAGUAUCUCAGAAACCCUGUGACAAGGCACUAUACUCCUCCUGACAGCAUGGAGGAGGGUUCAAGCCCUGGGUCAGGACAUCAACACAUGGGCCCCAUGAUUUAUCAUCUUUCACACAUGAAAAGUACUCCAGGCCCUUGGAGUUUCCUAGGUAACUGAAGCCCUUUAUCUCCCAUCCCAUCCCAUCCCAUCCCACUGCCUUUCCAAGUUGUGAAAAUCUUGCCCAAACAUGUAUGUGCUUAUUGUUUUGAGUUUGUUGAUAUGUGGGGAGAGCUCAAGCUACAAACUCAAGUGUACAGGGAUCUUAUAUGUUUCUCGUCAUGAGGCACAUAUUUGUCCCAUAGAAGGUAUUCAAUAGACAUUUCUAGUUGAUGGAGUCAGUGACCCUUUUUUCUCUUUCAUUUCAGAGGGAGUCAGACAUUUGGUUUUAUAUCACAGCAUUGUGUCACCUGGCCCCUGAGAAUGCUAACAUUGUAAGACAGGAGAGUAGCAAGGAGUUUACUAGGAACCCCUCCUCAUCCUAAAAACAGAUAAACACACAAAACAGUUGCAAGCAGACUAGACAAGCUGUUUGCAAGGUCCUGGUAGGGAAGGCAGUUGAGUGCUGAUGAGGUGCAGUACACUUGUACUGAAGUCCUGCACAGGUAUCAGUACUUUGGCUGGUGGGUGUCACUCUGCCAAGGAAGUGCUGUUCUCAUUCAUUCAAAAUGAAUGGCUCAUUUUGUUGUUCUUGACUCUUAAUUUUUAAUUUUUAUUUUUCAUCUGACAAAAACUUAGCUGAGUCAGGAAAUUGAUAGGUGGCUUUUACUACUCUGCCAUACAGAAGAAUAAGUUGGAGACAUUUGUAGAAUAUGGAUACACCUUGAACCAUAAUGUUCAGUGAAGUAAAUCAGACACACAAGGUUAAAUAUUGCAUGGUUUCUCUUAUACGAGAAACUCAAAGUAUAAACAAACUAAAGAGCAAAUAAAGGAUAGAUAAUAAUAGAAAAUAGGGAGAUAGAACUUUUGCAGAAUGGAAGAGGACCAAGAGAUGGGGUAGGGGAGGAAAUGAGAAGAAUAAAUAAAAGAAUUCAGAUGUAUAAUGUACGUGUACCAACUCCCCAUGAUGAAUGUAAUCACUAUGUACUCCAAACAUGUACUAAUAUAAAAUUUUUUAAUGAAAAAUGGAUAUUGUCUUGUUACUUUUCUCAUUGCUGAGACAAAAUAUCUGACACCCAAAGUUAAAGGGGGAAAAGUUCAUUUGGCUUACAGUUUGUAGAGGUUUCAGUAUAUAAUCAGC
rnacentral:lncRNA from 1 species